UUGGUAGAGCAGUUGACUUUUAAUCAAUUGGUCGCAGGUUCGAAUCCUGCACGACCCACCA
rnacentral:tRNA from 2 species